AUUGAACGCUGGCGGCAGGCUUAACACAUGCAAGUCGAGCGGGGUGAUGGUGCUUGCACUAUCACUUAGCGGCGGACGGGUGAGUAAUGCUUAGGAAUCUGCCUAUUAGUGGGGGACAACAGCUCGAAAGGGAUGCUAAUACCGCAUACGUCCUACGGGAGAAAGCAGGGGAUCACUUGUGACCUUGCGCUAAUAGAUGAGCCUAAGUCGGAUUAGGUAGUUGGGGGGGUAAAGGCCUACCAAGGCGACGAUCUGUAGCGGGUCUGAGAGGAUGAUCCGCCACACUGGGACUGAGACACGGCCCAGACUCCUACGGGAGGCAGCAGUGGGGAAUAUUGGACAAUGGGGGGAACCCCGAUCCAGCCAUGCCGCGUGUGUGAAGAAGGCCUUAUGGUUGUAAAGCACUUUAAGCGAGGAGGAGGCUCUUUUGGUUAAUACCCAAGAUGAGUGGACGUUACUCGCAGAAUAAGCACCGGCUAACUCUGUGCCAGCAGCCGCCGUAA
rnacentral:rRNA from 1 species